AAGAAAGUGAAACUGUCGGUAUCCUCAAAGGAACCGGAGUUCCUGCCACGACCUAUUCUUGGCUAUGGAAGGACAUAAUAGACCCCCACGUGGCAUUCCACAAGGCUUGGGGUCAUGUAUUGAGAGUCCCGCUUCUGCUCUUCUCUGCACUCGGCCACCUUGGCUCGGAAGGAAGCUGCUGGGGACCGGCCUGCUGCAACCCACCUCAGAAUCUCUUUCGGACCUCAGCUGCCCCAACCCUAAAAUGGGUAGGGAGAUAAAAAUCUGGGACUCCGGCCAGGUCUCAAGAGCACAUGCAACAUGACAUCAUGAAACUACAAGGGCGUGGCACUUCCCCCUCCCCCUGCCGCUCCCCAACUUUAAAAAGGAAGUACAGC
rnacentral:lncRNA from 1 species